GCAGAACAGUACAGGAGCUGUCAGAACUCCAACUGAAAUUAGAGAGCCUCCAACAACAAAAAAUCAUGACCAAGUUUUUGAAACUGAUGGGAGGUAGCAGCAUUGGGGACGCUGUCCGAAGAAUACUUCGGAAAGUUGCAACAAACGAGACAUGGUCCAACUACAGCCUGAAAGGGCGAAAGGGAAAACUGCCCUUCAUGGGGACAACCCUUUACAAAAUUGUUUUACGAGCUUGUGCUGAGCAGUUCC